AGUGAUGAAAAGCAUUCUUUCUUUAGCAUCCCACUGGAUUCUUUUUUCAGAGCACAACUGAAGGGCUUCAUUUGGUUCCCGACAACAUUCCAGGCACAGAACUACAACACAUCAUGUAUUUCACCACUACCGUCAGGUCAGAAAAGCCUCACUUUUAUGAGAAAUGCAUAACGAGGCAAAAAGCCCAGAAGAUCAAAAAAACUCAUCUCUCCUGGCAGCAUCUAGAAAUUUGUCCCCACUGCUUCUUGAUAAGCAGAUGUUUACGGCCAAGUUCACUUCAGAAACCAGUACUAUGAGGCUGGAGUUAGCUGUCCUAAAGGUCUGCAGGGCUUUUACCACUUGCACACCGUACCCACGUGGCCAACAUGUGAUAGAGAGGCCAAGCGGAACACCUGCUUGCAAAACAAGUCUUUGCAAAAACAAGAUAAACUACCAACGUCAGCCCGCUCUACAAAACAAGUUCCCUUAAAACUGCCAGAAUACUUUGUUCUAUCCCAGGAUCAUUCUUUGGUCAGGGGCCUUUAGGUCCCCGACACAAGAAGGGGAUGGGAACCUCUGUUCAGCAAGAAUAAUUUCCAAAUCCCUCAUGGACGCAGCAAGAAUUCUUCUCCAGGAAAAACAAACUCAGCUGAACUCUAGCUAAAUUAACUGAUAUCCCUCAUGAUCCGCCAAUUUUCGUGAUGGAUUAUGUGGAAGCUUUAUGAAGUUCAAAAAUAGCACUGUGCUCCUCCCUCCUCCCUGUCUGAGGGUCUGCCUGCUAUCAGAAGAUUGAUCAGCCACAGGCAGAACUUCCCCACUACAAUGAACAUAAUCCUCCAGUUCACUGGUUUAAGUGAGUCUUGAAGGAUUACUUUUCAGUGUAAUGAGGGGUUAGAUGCUUCCCAAGAUAGCUGGAUGGCCUUUGUGGGUUUUUAAUAUAAGCCAGUACACAAGAAGUUACAGCACUGUAGUCUUGUCACUUAGAUAUUUUUCCCAUUUCUCAUAAAAAAAAAAAAAAGACCUCCUCAUUCCUGGGAGCUGCUUUCUCAAACAGAUCACGGAGAAAAGAGUUCUUGAGGAAGUUUCUCUUAUUUGUUUGCUUUUUUUCCAAAUAGCAUCAAUUGCUUUCUUCUUAAAAAAAAAAAAAAAAAAGAAAAAUUCUGUUCCGUUAUCAAACAUUCCCCAUGAUUGCUGGUGUGAUUAAAGGUACCUAGGUAAGAUCAUUUUCUCCACAGGGUUUUCUUAGAGUGGAGAAGUGGCAUUCCACAACUCAUUUGCACGGCACAUCCAUGCAUCCUGAUGGCCAGGCACACUCUGACCUUCUCUCCGUGUUAGAACUGAAAUAGGAUUCAGUCCAUAGCAGACCUCGGAAGAUUUCUCACUGUCCAAAUUCACAUGCAGGUGAGUCCUACCUGGUUUCCUUGUUCUCAAGGACUCCAUGGCCAGCAACAGCCUUGUGUGGCACCCAUGCUAGCAAGCACAAACAGUCGUGGAAAUAGAAGAGUAACUACCCAAGUUCUUGAUAGCUGCAUCUUCUGACAUGGGAAUGCCCUAAUCCUGUCCCCUGCAGUACUACUAACAGCUACUGCUUUCAGAGAAGAUGAGGACAAGCAGUCCCCCAUUACCAAAAGCAGCUCCCCAGUUCCCACCAACCACCUUCUGGGGGAAAGAGAGAAGGCAACGAUGGAAUGGCAUCAGCAUUCUGAUCACCUCCUCAGGUGACAAUCUCCCUUUCACCCAAGGGAUGAAAACAGACGUUGGUUAAAUAAACCAACACUUUUCCUGCAAAAUAUUGGCUGCUUCUCCCUUUUACAUGUCAUCAGGGAGCCCAAUGCAGUAUUUUAACCAGAUGCUUGAUGUGAGCCUUUUUUCCUAGGGAAAAAAAAAGAAAAAAGAAAAAAAAAAAGGUGGCUAGUAGUUGAUCAGCUGCUUUCUUCUUCUGCAAGACCUAACCCACAAGGAUAAGCAUUCCUAAUAUCUACCUGAGAUUAUUAAUUUCUAGCCUUAUUCAAAUCAGAUACAUCUCUGUGGAAUUUUCCUGUAGGCUUUUUGUGACAUUUUGGAAAAAUCCAUGGGAGUAUAGAUUAUUUCUCCCAGUGCCCAUAGGAAUCUAUGUUUAUUUGGCUAACAAAGCUGCUUGGAUUUGAAAACAAAUUAAACUACCCAGUCAUUUAUAAAAUGCCCAAAUGAAACGGAAAAAUAAAAAGCUUUUUUACAGUUUAUUUCUGUAAGAGAGAAUGUAACAUCCUUCACUCCAGAGAUUUCCCAAUCCCUGUUCCCGUCUUCUGCGUUUUAUCUUCCCUCCUCAGAUUCACAUUUUGAGGAUCAAAAUGAACGAGUUUUAUGGGAAGAGAUGACAAUGGCAAGAGGGCACACUGUCAAGCAAGCACCACAUCCUGCCAUAGGCACAUUCAGGAUGAAAUGCUCACCACCAUCAGAUGGCUUGUACAAAGGCUGCUGGGGAAGAGGGUCCUGCAUGCACAUCCCCCACAGCACUGAUAUGCACAGCACGGCAAGGAAUCCCAAAGUCUCCUUAUAACUGAUGGCAGUCUAACUAAUAUAGAUACAGGAGCCUAUGCUGCUGUUAAUCCCAGACAAAAAUAAAGGCUUAAAAGCAGGCCUUUCUCUUCACGGACUUGGACUU